ACAACAACAACAAGUCUUUAAUAAAGCAACAACAGAGUAUUUUCCUCGAUUAAAAAAAAAAAGCCAUAGCUGCUAACAGCAUUCAUAUUUUUAAUAAUAAAACUGAAAAUUGGUGCCAGCUCAUAAUUUAGAAACACGGAGGAGCAGCACAUCUGUCUGCUAAUGCUCAGCUUAUUUUCACAUAAGAGAAAAAUCACAUAGUGGAAAACCAUUUUGCUAAGUUCUUUCCCUGCUCCUCUCCUUGGAGACAGAUAAAGAGAAGGAGAAUGCUGUCAUGCACAGUGCCACAGGAGAAUCACCCAGCAGCUUGAAUCUUCAAGCUUCAUUGUCACAGGCUUGCGUAACAAUGGAAACCACACUGCACCAUGCUGCACCUGACUGAAAAAGAGAUUUGGAAACCUUGGCACAUCCUGUGCCAUCACAGAUGCACACCUGGACAUUUUGCAGAUAUCGACUUCUGGAGCUCUUUGUUGUGAAAAGUAUCUCUGUUUUAAAGUAUCCCCUACUUGCAUUUGAGAUGUUUCAUUUUGAAGCUCAAAUGAUUCACAAACAGAAACACUAGCUGCAGUUGCACUGAUAAGACCUGGCACAUUUUUCCCUGCCACAGUGAAAUAAAGCUGAAAACCUUUUCCUGUUGUGCUUUAGGUUUUCAAACACAAGUGAAACAGAGCUUUUGAAAAGGUGCCCUGGAGACAAGGUCCUAUGGUUUCAGCAUGCUCACCAGCACACUGUUCAGUUGAUGAAUACAGAAAUUGCUAGGCUGCCAGAACCAUGGGAGACAGAUUCCCCCUUCUCUGCUUCCCUGCUUCAGCCUGCACUCGCGAUGCCUGUUACCCUGCAAAGACGCUUGGGUUAACGAAUGGAGAGGCCCAAGAACUGAGACUGAUUUACUUUUGCUGCUUUUACUUUCUUGACAAUUCUGCUGUAAGCGCAGAGCUGUGACAUUCAGGUGACUCUUGUAUCAGCUUUAUUUCAUAGAAUCCUAGAAUGGUUUGUGUUGGAAGGGACAUUAAAGCUUAUCUAGUUCCAACUCCCCUGCCACAGGCAGGGACACCUUCCACUAGACCAGGUUGCUCCAAGCCCCGUCCAACCUGGCCUUGAACACUGCCAGGGAUGGGGCAGCCACAGCUUCUCUGGGCAAUCUGUGCCAGCGCCUCAGCACCCUCACAGGGAAGAAUUUCUUCCUAAUGUCCAAUCUAAAUCCAUACCCUUUCAGUUUCAGGCCAUUACCCCUUGUCCUGUCACUAUAUGUCCUUGUAAAAGUCCCUCUCCAGCUUUCUUGUAGACUCCCUUUAGGUACUGGAAGCUGCUCUAAGGUCUCCCCAGAUCCUUCUCUUCUCCAGGCUGAACAAGCCCAACUCUCUCAGCCUGUCACCACAGGAGAAAUGCUCCAGCCCUGAGAGCAUCUUAGUGGCCUCCUCUGGAUUUGCUCUUGCAGGUCCACAUCCCUCUUGUGUUGGGGAACCCAGAGCGGAAAGCAGUACUGCAGGUGGGGUCUCACGAGAGCAGAGGGGCAGGAUCACCUCCCUUGACCUGCUGGUCAU
rnacentral:lncRNA from 1 species